ACUCUCGCUGUGUUUAUAAUUUCCUGAAUGAGGUCGCACUUACAGAAUCUCCUGCAAUCAUGACUCCACUGGUGCUGCUCUCUGUCUUCCUAGCCUUCAUUCAGGACUCGAGUUGUCAGAUUUCUGUGAACCAACCAUCAGCACCAAAGUCAGUUUCCAUUGGAGGGAGUGUCACCUUCAGCUGUACCACUGGGAGUAGCGUGGGUGACUACAUGGCCUGGUACCAGCAGAGACCUGGACAAACUCCUAAACUCCUAAUCUAUAGUGCAAGCUCUCGCUAUGGUGACACCCCAAGUCGAUUCACUGGCAGUGGGUAUGGGACUUCAUUCAGUUUGACUAUCAGUGGAGUUCAGUCUGAAGACGCCGGUCACUACUACUGUCAGCAGGGCAGCAGCUACCCGAUCUGA